rnacentral:rRNA from 1 species
UUAAGCGACUAAGCGUACACGGUGGAUGCCCUGGCAGUCAGAGGCGAUGAAGGACGUGCUAAUCUGCGAAAAGCGUCGGUAAGGUGAUAUGAACCGUUAUAACCGGCGAUGUCCGAAUGGGGAAACCCAGUGCAAUUCGUUGCACUAUCGUUAACUGAAUACAUAGGUUAACGAGGCGAACCGGGGGAACUGAAACAUCUAAGUACCCCGAGGAAAAGAAAUCAACCGAGAUUCCCCCAGUAGCGGCGAGCGAACGGGGAGCAGCCCAGAGUCUGAAUCAGCUUGUGUGUUAGUGGAACGGUCUGGAAAGUCCGACGGUACAGGGUGAUAGUCCCGUACACCAAAAUGCACAGGCUGUGAACUCGAAGAGUAGGGCGGGACACGUGGUAUCCUGUCUGAAUAUGGGGGGACCAUCCUCCAAGGCUAAAUACUCCUGACUGACCGAUAGUGAACCAGUACCGUGAGGGAAAGGCGAAAAGAACCCCGGCGAGGGGAGUGAAAAAGAACCUGAAACCGUGUACGUACAAGCAGUGGGAGCACCUUCGGGUGUGACUGCGUACCUUUUGUAUAAUGGGUCAGCGACUUAUAUUCUGUAGCAAGGUUAACCGUAUAGGGGAGCCGCAGGGAAACCGAGUCUUAACUGGGCGUUAAGUUGCAGGGUAUAGACCCGAAACCCGGUGAUCUAGCCAUGGGCAGGUUGAAGGUUGGGUAACACUAACUGGAGGACCGAACCGACUAAUGUUGAAAAAUUAGCGGAUGACUUGUGGCUGGGGGUGAAAGGCCAAUCAAACCGGGAGAUAGCUGGUUCUCCCCGAAAGCUAUUUAGGUAGCGCCUCGUGAAUUCAUCUUCGGGGGUAGAGCACUGUUUCGGCUAGGGGGUCAUCCCGACUUACCAACCCGAUGCAAACUACGAAUACCGAAGAAUGUUAUCACGGGAGACACACGGCGGGUGCUAACGUCCGUCGUGAAGAGGGAAACAACCCAGACCGCCAGCUAAGGUCCCAAAGUCAUGGUUAAGUGGGAAACGAUGUGGGAAGGCACAGACAGCCAGGAUGUUGGCUUAGAAGCAGCCAUCAUUUAAAGAAAGCGUAAUAGCUCACUGGUCGAGUCGGCCUGCGCGGAAGAUGUAACGGGGCUAAACCAUGCACCGAAGCUGCGGCAGCGACACUAUGUGUUGUUGGGUAGGGGAGCGUUCUGUAAGCCUGCGAAGGUGACCUGUGAGGGUUGCUGGAGGUAUCAGAAGUGCGAAUGCUGACAUAAGUAACGAUAAAGCGGGUGAAAAGCCCGCUCGCCGGAAGACCAAGGGUUCCUGUCCAACGUUAAUCGGGGCAGGGUGAGUCGACCCCUAAGGCGAGGCCGAAAGGCGUAGUCGAUGGGAAACAGGUUAAUAUUCCUGUACUUGGUGUUACUGCGAAGGGGGGACGGAGAAGGCUAUGUUAGCCGGGCGACGGUUGUCCCGGUUUAAGCAUGUAGGCUGGUUAUCCAGGCAAAUCCGGAUAAUCAAGGCUGAGGUGUGAUGACGAGGUACUACGGUGCUGAAGUAACAAAUGCCCUGCUUCCAGGAAAAGCCUCUAAGCAUCAGGUAACAUCAAAUCGUACCCCAAACCGACACAGGUGGUCAGGUAGAGAAUACCAAGGCGCUUGAGAGAACUCGGGUGAAGGAACUAGGCAAAAUGGUGCCGUAACUUCGGGAGAAGGCACGCUGGUGUGUAGGUGAAGUCCCUGCGGAUGGAGCUGAGACCAGUCGAAGAUACCAGCUGGCUGCAACUGUUUAUUAAAAACACAGCACUGUGCAAACACGAAAGUGGACGUAUACGGUGUGACGCCUGCCCGGUGCCGGAAGGUUAAUUGAUGGGGUUAUCCGUAAGGAGAAGCUCUUGAUCGAAGCCCCGGUAAACGGCGGCCGUAACUAUAACGGUCCUAAGGUAGCGAAAUUCCUUGUCGGGUAAGUUCCGACCUGCACGAAUGGCGUAAUGAUGGCCAGGCUGUCUCCACCCGAGACUCAGUGAAAUUGAACUCGCUGUGAAGAUGCAGUGUACCCGCGGCAAGACGGAAAGACCCCGUGAACCUUUACUAUAGCUUGACACUGAACAUUGAGCCUUGAUGUGUAGGAUAGGUGGGAGGCUUUGAAGCGUGGACGCCAGUCUGCGUGGAGCCAACCUUGAAAUACCACCCUUUAAUGUUUGAUGUUCUAACGUUGGCCCCUUACCGGGGUUGCGGACAGUGUCUGGUGGGUAGUUUGACUGGGGCGGUCUCCUCCCAAAGCGUAACGGAGGAGCACGAAGGUUAGCUAAUCCUGGUCGGACAUCAGGAGGUUAGUGCAAUGGCAUAAGCUAGCUUGACUGCGAGCGUGACGGCGCGAGCAGGUGCGAAAGCAGGUCAUAGUGAUCCGGUGGUUCUGAAUGGAAGGGCCAUCGCUCAACGGAUAAAAGGUACUCCGGGGAUAACAGGCUGAUACCGCCCAAGAGUUCAUAUCGACGGCGGUGUUUGGCACCUCGAUGUCGGCUCAUCACAUCCUGGGGCUGAAGUAGGUCCCAAGGGUAUGGCUGUUCGCCAUUUAAAGUGGUACGCGAGCUGGGUUUAGAACGUCGUGAGACAGUUCGGUCCCUAUCUGCCGUGGGCGCUGGAGAAUUGAGGGGGGCUGCUCCUAGUACGAGAGGACCGGAGUGGACGCAUCACUGGUGUUCGGGUUGUCAUGCCAAUGGCACUGCCCGGUAGCUAAAUGCGGAAGAGAUAAGUGCUGAAAGCAUCUAAGCACGAAACUUGCCCCGAGAUGAGUUCUCCCUGAGACUUUAAGUCUCCUGAAGGAACGUUAAAGACGAUGACGUUGAUAGGCCGGGUGUGUAAGCGCAGCGAUGCGUUGAGCUAACCGGUACUAAUGAACCGUGAGGCUUAACCUU